AAAAAAUAUUCAUAGCCUAUUAGGUAUAGCUAUAUAAUCGACUAAUAGAUGAUCUUCAUUUCAUAAGGACGUGUCUGCAGAGAACGCAUCUCAAUAUAACUUCACUGGACAGGCAAUUGAAACAAACAAUGAUGAAAAACCUCUUUAUUCUCGGUUUUGUUAUGGUAACAUGCUUUUCAAUGUCUGUAUCUGCUACAGAAUAUCAGUGUCCAUCAUGCCCUUACUUUCAGUGGUAUAUUGACUCAUGUCCAGAGCUAUGUAAGGUGGACUGCUUUGUGGACCCGUGUCAGUUUGAACAAUGUGACGGCGCAGUGUGUGAAGCUUUUUAUUGUGGAGGGUGCCAGGCUUGCUUCUACGAAAACGGGAUCCUGGUAAAUGAUUGCCCCUAAUAUUAGUUGAAUAAAAUUGAA